GCGGCAAUAGCUCAGUUGGUAGAGCACGACCUUGCCAAGGUCGGGGUCGCGAGUUCGAGCCUCGUUUGCCGC
rnacentral:tRNA from 1 species